UACGUAGGGUGCAAGCGUUGUCCGGAAUCAUUGGGCGUAAAGCGCGCGUAGGUGGUCAUGUAAGUCCGCUGUGAAAGUCAAAGGCUCAACCUUUGAAAGCCGGUGGAUACUGCAUGACUAGAGUACGGAAGAGGCGAGUGGAAUUCCUGGUGUAGCGGUGGAAUGCGCAGAUAUUCGCAAGAACACCAGUGGCGAAGGCGGCUCACUGGCCCGGUACUGACGCUGAGGUGCGAAAGCGUGGGGAGCAAACAGG
rnacentral:rRNA from 1 species